rnacentral:rRNA from 1 species
UCCCAGACUCCUACGGGAGGCAGCAGUGGGGGAUAUUGCACAAUGGGGGGAACCCUGAUGCAGCGACGCCGCGUGGGUGAAGGAGUAUUUCGGUAUGUAAAGCCCUAUCGGCAGGGAAGAAUUUAGACGGUACCUGACUAAGAAGCCCCGGCUAACUACGUGCCAGCAGCCGCGGUAAUACGUAGGGGGCAAGCGUUAUCCGGAUUCACUGGGUGUAAAGGGAGCGUAGACGGCCAGGCAAGCCUGGAGUGAAAGCCCGGGGCCCAACCCCGGGACUGCUCUGGGAACUGUCCGGCUGGAGUGCGGGAGGGGCAGGCGGAAUUCCUGGUGUAGCGGUGAAAUGCGUAGAUAUCAGGAGGAACACCGGCGGCGAAGGCGGCCUGCUGGACCGCGACUGACGUUGAGGCUCGAAAGCGUGGGGAGCGAACAGGAUUAGAUACCCCAGUAU